GGCCCAUUAGCUCAGUUGGUUAGAGUGUCGUGCUAAUAACGCGAAUGUUGCAGGCUCAAGACCUGCAUGGGGCA